GCCCCCCAAAUUCUGUUUUGUUGGGAUUGUAGUGUCGCACCCGUAGGUAGAAUAUACGGGUAUCGUCGGUGGCAGUUUUAGGAGGUAUGCUAUGCUGUGCUUAGUGAUUAAUGAAUUGUAGAUACCUGGAUGUAAUAAAAGGAACAGCAGUUGCUAGUUGAGUUAUCAGUCAGUAGCUGUCUGCAGAGGAAUGGACUAGCUUGUUUUCUUUGUGUUCAAUAAGCUAUCCUGGAAUUGGAAUUGUCUUUGUGUACUUCCAAUAGGUUAUGGGCCCAGGAACGGUUCAUCUGCGAGUGUGCCCUACAGGAGGAUCGGCCGCAUAAGCCGUGUAACGCCGCACGGGAUCCGUAGGAGGAGCUGCUGAUUGGUCGGAGCAUGUACAAGCAUCGGAGUCGGGCCACUUGUACAGGGCUCGAGUUGAGGAGGAGCUUCGUGAUCCUCGGAAGGUAGAACCUCGACGAGCUUCGUGAUCCGUUAGGAGGUAGAACCUGAACUUCGUGGUAGAUAAGUAGAAGGAGCUUCGUGAUCUUCGGAAGGUAGAACCUGGACGACCUUUGUGAUGGACGAGAUGGUAGAACCUGCAAGAGCUUUGUGAACCUGGACGAGGAGUUUGGCGACUGGUAGAGCAAUCCGGAUGACGACACUAAGGAGGAGUGUUGGGAUUGUAGUGUCGCACCCGUAGGUAGAAUAUACGGGUAUCGUCGGUGGCAGUUUUAGGAGGUAUGCUAUGCUGUGCUUAGUGAUUAAUGAAUUGUAGAUACCUGGAUGUAAUAAAAGGAACAGCAGUUGCUAGUUGAGUUAUCAGUCAGUAGCUGUCUGCAGAGGAAUGGA